rnacentral:rRNA from 1 species
CAGCCGCCGCGGGAAUACGGAGGGUGCAAGCGUUAAUCGGAAUUACCGGGCGUAAAGCGCACGCAGGCGGUCUGACAAGUCAGAUGUGAAAUCCCCGGGCUUAACCUGGGAACUGCAUUUGAAACUGCCAGGCUGGAGUCUUGUAGAGGGGGGUGGAAUUCCAGGUGUAGCGGUGAAAUGCGUAGAGAUCUGGAGGAAUACCGGUGGCGAAGGCGGCCCCCUGGACAAAGACUGACGCUCAGGUGCGAAAGCGUGGGGAGCAAACAGGAUUAGAGACCCCAGUAGUCCCUGUCUCUUAUAC